rnacentral:rRNA from 1 species
AAUCAACGCUGGCGGCGUGCCUAACACAUGCAAGUCGAACGCGAAAGCCCCGCAAGGGCGAAGUAGAGUGGCAAACGGGUGAGUAACGCGUGGGCGACCUACCUUCGAGUGGGGAGUAACCUUCCGAAGGAGGGCGUAAUACCGCAUGACAUCCCGUCGUUUGGAUACACGGAGUAUCAAAGCCGGGGAGUCGCAAGACCUGGCGCUUGGAGAGGGGCCCGCGUCCGAUUAGCUAGUUGGUGGGGUAACGGCUCACCAAGGCUCCGAUCGGUAUCCGGCC